rnacentral:rRNA from 1 species
AUUGAACGCUGGCGGCAUGCUUUACACAUGCAAGUCGAACGGUAACAGGCCUUCGGGUGCUGACGAGUGGCGAACGGGUGAGUAAUGCAUCGGAACGUGCCCAGAGGUGGGGGAUAACGCAGCGAAAGCUGUGCUAAUACCGCAUGUGAUCUGAGGAUGAAAGCGGGGGACCAGGCAGCAAUGUUUGGCCUCGCGCCUUUGGAGCGGCCGAUGUCAGAUUAGGUAGUUGGUGGGGUAAAGGCCUACCAACCCGACGAUCUGUAGCUGGUCUGAGAGGACGACCAGCCACACUGGGACUGAGACACGGCCCAGACUCCUACGGGAGGCAGCAGUGGGGAAUUUUGGACAAUGGGCGCAAGCCUGAUCCAGCAAUGCCGCGUGCGGGAAGAAGGCCUUCGGGUUGUAAACCGCUUUUGUACGGAACGAAAAGGCUCUGGCUAAUACCUGGGGCUGAUGACGGUACCGGAAGAAUAAGCACCGGCUAACUACGUG